rnacentral:rRNA from 1 species
GCGUUAAUCGGAAUUAUUGGGCGUAAAGCGUGCGCAGGCGGUUGUGCAAGUCAGAUGUGAAAUCCCCGGGCUCAACCUGGGAACUGCAUUUGUGACUGCACAGCUAGAGUACGGCAGAGGGGGAUGGAAUUCCGCGUGUAGCAGUGAAAUGCGUAGAUAUGCGGAGGAACACCGAUGGCGAAGGCAAUCCCCUGGACCUGUACUGACGCUCAUGCACGAAAGCGUG